rfam:Schistosoma mansoni, Puerto Rico, WGS project CABG01000000 data, contig: 0187
AGCCUUCUAAAUACAUGAUGAGAUAUCAUCAUACACUAAGCCAUUGGGACUGAUGUGACUCCUAAGAUAAGUGAAGCG